CUUCCCAACAACCUGCAGCAAAAUAUUCUAAAUAGGUCUUUUAUUUAGAGCACAAAACAUUCUUCACAUAUAGGAAGCAGAACAGAUACUUUGCCAUUCAAUGCUACGCCAAUAAAGAAAAGGGUUUCCACAGAUGCCACAAAACAUCUGGUGCCACGAUGACUUUACGAAAGUCUGCAAUUCAUUGUGUUUGGUGAAGCUAACAGAAAAUCAGUAAAGAAAGAGAGGACGUGACCUUCUGACUACUUGGCAUUUAAACGACCUAUGCUUUCCAGAGACAUCAUAG